UAGGAAGUGGUGUAGAGGAAGCACCUGGAGUUUUGAUCUCUUGAGCAUGGGUUCAAAUCCCUUCUUCCUAG
rnacentral:tRNA from 1 species